UAAAGUUAGUUAAAAAUAUUAGUUGACCAAUCAGAUGCAAUGUGUGUGGGGGUGGGAAGAGCUGGCCUAUCUGAAUACCACUACUGCAAGUAUCUCACUUUGAGCUAAGUUUUUUUUGGGGUGGGGAGGAAGAAAGAGGAAAAUGUUAUAAUACUGUGCAAAGAAUUAAAUGUCAAGGUGGUAAAACAGCGCCUCACGUGGUGAGGGAUGGUACUACACAACGCGUCCCGAUACAGUGGUGUAUAACACAUGAAGGAGGAUUGCCAGGUUAGCAGUGCUCUUCACGUCAGGAAGACGUUGCAAGGUGUUUGGCAACAUUUUGGGAAGAUGACUGAAAGC